rnacentral:pre_miRNA from 1 species
CCUCAACUUUAACAUGGAGGUACUUGCUGUACACCUGAAAAAGUAAGUGCUUCCAUGUUUUAGUUGUGG